CUCUCCAAAUAUGCCCCUCAUCGAGAUCUGGGACCUGUGUGUACGUCAGACGUUAAGGUUGAGACACGUUUUGGCGCUGCUGUGUGAGAAAGUUAGAGUACAGUGUGAACUCGUAACAGAGAAGUGGAGAAGUUGUCCGCGUUUUUCAUGGUAUAUUUUGGAUUACGGUACACCGAUCCGCUCCACAUUACAAAGACUACGCUGAGAGGGGACACACAAACUGCUUUCUCUCUUACAAGUAGACGGUGAGAAAGCAGUAGCUGGAAGCGCGGCAGCCCGACACGUCUCCCCUGGCCCUCUUCCCUCUCCUCCCGCGCUACACCACCACGGCCCUACAGGGCUCAUCGUCAAGAAAGCAACGGGCUGCCACUUAAUGCCUUUGCUCAAAAAGCACACAGAGCAGGAGAGACUUUGUACACGUGCUGCCAUGUGUAUACUGCCACUGCAGAACAUAGCAAGGAGACGUGUUUUGUAUCCUAUGAAUCAAGAUGUCAAAACGUCUGGAGGAUAAUUUUGCUGACUGCAGCAUGAGAGCUUGGAUAAAGAUGCAUGAACUAUUCAGCAGGUGUGUAAAAGAUGUGCACAUAAACCACAUGUCCCCUACCCAGCGGUCAAGCACUUCUGAGAAGACCUUCUGCUGCAGUGUCCAGUCCCUACACUCCUGUCUAACUGGGAGGCUCCACCAGAGUAAAUAUCUCAGAUAAGGUAUAGAAUGUCUUGGCACUCGUAAUAACAGAGUUCUUCAUUAUCAAACCUGCGGCACUUUGUUGGAAUAUUCUGAUUAAAAACUGCUCCGCGAUUGGAGAUAAUGAACUCGUCUGUUUUAAGAUUUUGCCGAAGCCGAAGCUCUAUUAGAAGCUGCUUAACACUUGGCUGAGAAGGGGGAGUAUUUUAAAAAGCACUUUGUGUUUGUAAGCAGGAGUUUAUCAUCUGAUAAUGAAUGCGAGACGUAACAUGAGAAAAAUCUGGAAACAGUGACUGACUCCAGUAAUCUGUGAUAUAUCUUCAACUAAACACAAAAGCAACUUCAUUAAGAUAACUUUUACGUAACAUGUAUAAAGUCAUAUGAAAUAAAUACCAUAUAUUGACAAAAAAAACCCAAAACUUUAACAUAGUGUUAACAUAGAAACCAUUGUCUUUGCAUUAUACAAACCUCAUGUCCUCAUGAAACAAAUCCCAUGUUCACAAACAAAGCUAUUAGCACUCAAAUUGCAGUGUGUGUUAGUGAAAGCGCAGAAAGACAUGAAUGGCAGCAGAAAAAGCUCCCAAAUGGACAUCUGCUUCCAGUGAGGAACUGCAAGGGAAUGAAGAAACAGACCAAAAACGCAGUCUGGUUCAAAACACAGCGCAUGCCACAUAUCUGAAACACUGAAGUAAAUGCAGGGUACUUUUGAUGGCAGUUCUGUGGAUGGGAACAACAGUCAUGUGAACCGUUCCCUCAGUUAGGAGCAUUACAGAAGGGGGAAAGAAAGAAGAA